ensembl:snRNA U6 U6 spliceosomal RNA
GUGGUCACUUCUGCAGCACGUACACUAAAAUUGGAGCAAUACAGAGAAGAUUAGCAUGCCUCCUGUGCAAGGAUGACAUGCAAAUUCAUGAAGUGUUUCACAUUUUU